rnacentral:tRNA from 1 species
UAAAAGAUAAGCUAUUUAAGCUGAUGGGCCCAUAACCCAUCUAUGAGAUAUUCUCUUUUUA